rnacentral:misc_RNA from 1 species
CAAAUCUCAAAGCCGUAAAGAAGAUUUUUAUUAAUACUCAGAUUAACGCUAUUAUUUUUAUGUUGGGGUUUUUAUUGGGUUGGCCUGGAAGAUUGUUGAACCAACGGCCCUUUAUGCCUUAAUUUCAGAUAUUUUUAUCCAAAAACAUACUUUGUUACCAUGAAAUAUUUAUUAUUUUUGUAAAAUAUCAGUAGAGUAAAAUUUGAG